AGAGUUUGAUCAUGGCUCAGGACGAACGCUGGCGGCGUGCCUAAUACAUGCAAGUCGAGCGGAUCUUCAUUAGCUUGCUUUUGAAGAUCAGCGGCGGACGGGUGAGUAACACGUGGGCAACCUGCCUGUAAGACUGGGAUAACUUCGGGAAACCGGAGCUAAUACCGGAUAAUCCUUUCCCUCACAUGAGGGGAAGCUGAAAGACGGUUUCGGCUGUCACUUACAGAUGGGCCCGCGGCGCAUUAGCUAGUUGGUGAGGUAACGGCUCACCAAGGCAACGAUGCGUAGCCGACCUGAGAGGGUGAUCAGCCACACUGGGACUGAGACACGGCCCAGACUCCUACGGGAGGCAGCAGUAGGGAAUCUUCCGCAAUGGACGAAAGUCUGACGGAGCAACGCCGCAUGAGCGAUGAAGGCCUUCGGGUCGUAAAGCUCUGUUGUCAGGGAAGAACAAGUGCCGGAGUAACUGCCGGUACCUUGACGGUACCUGACCAGAAAGCCACGGCUAACUACGUGCCAGCAGCCGCGGUAAUACGUAGGUGGCAAGCGUUGUCCGGAAUUAUUGGGCGUAAAGCGCGCGCAGGCGGUUCCUUAAGUCUGAUGUGAAAGCCCCCGGCUCAACCGGGGAGGGUCAUUGGAAACUGGGGAACUUGAGUGCAGAAGAGGAGAGCGGAAUUCCACGUGUAGCGGUGAAAUGCGUAGAGAUGUGGAGGAACACCAGUGGCGAAGGCGGCUCUCUGGUCUGUAACUGACGCUGAGGCGCGAAAGCGUGGGGAGCGAACAGGAUUAGAUACCCUGGUAGUCCACGCCGUAAACGAUGAGUGCUAAGUGUUAGAGGGUUUCCGCCCUUUAGUGCUGCAGCAAACGCAUU
rnacentral:rRNA from 1 species